rnacentral:rRNA from 1 species
AGGCCUAGACGAGGCAUGGUUUCCUUGGCCGUGUCGAGUCUAGGCUUCGGGAGGGGGGAGAAGUCGUAACAAGGUGGCCGUAGGGGAACCUGCGGCCGGAUCACCUCCU